GACGAACGCUGGCGGCGUGCUUAACACAUGCAAGUCGAACGGAAAGGCCCUGCUUUUGUGGGGUGCUCGAGUGGCGAACGGGUGAGUAACACGUGAGUAACCUGCCCUUGACUUUGGGAUAACUUCAGGAAACUGGGGCUAAUACCGGAUAGGAGCUCCUGCUGCAUGGUGGGGGUUGGAAAGUUUCGGCGGUUGGGGAUGGACUCGCGGCUUAUCAGCUUGUUGGUGGGGUAGUGGCUUACCAAGGCUUUGACGGGUAGCCGGCCUGAGAGGGUGACCGGCCACAUUGGGACUGAGAUACGGCCCAGACUCCUACGGGAGGCAACAGUGGGGAAUAUUGCACAAUGGGCGGAAGCCUGAUGCAGCAACGCCGCGUGCGGGAUGACGGCCUUCGGGUUGUAAACCGCUUUCGACUGUGACGAAGCGUGAGUGACGGUAAUGGGUAAAGAAGCACCGGCUAACUACGU
rnacentral:rRNA from 1 species